rnacentral:rRNA from 1 species
GAUGAACGCUGGCGGCGUGCCUAAUACAUGCAAGUCGAGCGAACAGACGAGGAGCUUGCUCCUCUGACGUUAGCGGCGGACGGGUGAGUAACACGUGGAUAACCUACCUAUAAGACUGGGAUAACUUCGGGAAACCGGAGCUAAUACCGGAUAACAUGUUGAACCGCAUGGUUUAACAGUGAAAGACGGUCUUGCUGUCACUUAUAGAUGGAUCCGCGCCGCAUUAGCUAGUUAGUAAGGUAACGGCUUACCAAGGCAACGAUGCGUAGCCGACCUGAGAGGGUGAUCGGCCACACUGGAACUGAGACACGGUCCAGACUCCUACGGGAGGCAGCAGUAGGGAAUCUUCCGCAAUGGGCGAAAGCCUGACGGAGCAACGCCGCGUGAGUGAAGAAGGUCUUCGGAUCGUAAAACUCUGUUAUUAGGGAAGAACAAAUGUGUAAGUAACUAUGCACGUCUUGACGGUACCUAAUCAGAAAGCCACGGCUAACUACGUG